ACCGGCCUUCAUAGGUGCUCGCUAACAGCACUUGCCCCGACAGUCUGUUAAGGCUACACGGGGGACCUUUAUCUUUGUCUUUGUGUUACAGGAACUAUUUUGGAAAAGCAACGGCGAGCACCUUUGGAGGUUCUGGACGACGUCGAUCCCGACGUCAUCCCAGAGCCAGACUACGACCCUGAGUUUGAGCCCACGAAGACCAGCGUGAUUGCACUGAUCGUGAUCGUGCCAGCCAUGCUAUGCUUAAUCGUCUUCUGCAUCGUAAUGUGCUUCACGCGAAAUAAAAAAUCAACGUCUGCCCCCGACAUGGAAAAGGGAUUGGACGCUGCGGAAGAGCAGAACCGACAGGAGCCCGAUGUGAAGAUGCCUGGGCAUCCAACGAAGCCUGCCCGGGAAAAUCAAACCAAAAAAGCCGGC